rnacentral:misc_RNA from 1 species
GAUAGAAGGCCAAAAGUCUUUCUCUCUAGUAAAUAGAGAGAGUUUCGCUGAGAUUUACUUUUAGUUUGCUGUGACUGAGGUCUCUGUUCUGUUGAUUGUAGCGGCCAUUCCUUUCUAGGCAGGGAAUGGCCCUCCAUGCCUCGUUGGACCUGGGUUUCCUUCCCCUUUUAUGGUGGGUUAUACAUGAGUGCUUUGGGGUUGAAUUUUAUGGCUUGC